rnacentral:rRNA from 1 species
GAUGAACGCUGGCGGCGUGCCUAAUACAUGCAAGUCGAGCGAACAGAUGAGGAGCUUGCUCCUCUGACGUUAGCGGCGGACGGGUGAGUAACACGUGGAUAACCUACCUAUAAGACUGGGAUAACUUCGGGAAACCGGAGCUAAUACCGGAUAAUAUAUUGAACCGCAUGGUUCAAUAGUGAAAGACGGUUUUGCUGUCACUUAUAGAUGGAUCCGCGCCGCAUUAGCUAGUUGGUAAGGUAACGGCUUACCAAGGCGACGAUGCGUAACCGACCUGAGAGGGUGAUCGGCCACACUGGAACUGAGACACGGUCCAGACUCCUACGGGAGGCAGCAGUAGGGAAUCUUCCGCAAUGGGCGAAAGCCUGACGGAGCAACGCCGCGUGAGUGAUGAAGAUCUUCGGAUCGUAAAACUCUGUUAUUAGGGAAGAACAAAUGUGUAAGUAACUAUGCACGUCUUGACGGUACCUAAUCAGAAAGCCACGGCUAACUACGUG